GCUAAUAUUCCAUGGCUGAAAUGGCAACUUUUUACUCGAGGACGAUUGGUUGUGAUAGUGUACAAAUCCACAAAUAAAAGCAACAACCUGGCAGAAGGUCGAGGGAAAGAGUCAAAAGAGCAUACACUCAUUGAAAGAAGACAAUAAAUAGAUCACAAUUUUUGUCAACCAACUAAAUGAAAAAACUUUGCUAACAUUUCUGAUGCAACUGAUGGAUAGAGCAAGUCUGAAUGGCUAAAAACAGCAACUUACAACAUUGAUCAAGGAUGUAACGUUCCACAAAGCAAAGAUACGUGCAAGGCCAGCAGAACGCCUAGGACCAUGACUGAAUAAAGCAUUGAUU
rnacentral:misc_RNA from 1 species